UGUGUACUCCCUCCGUUCCAAAAUACUUGACUUCCAUUUGUCCAAAAAUGGAUGUACCUAUAUAGUAAAACAUGUCUAGAUACAUAUAUAUUUUGACAAAUAGAAGGCAUGUAUUGUGCAACGGAGGGAGUAGAAU
rfam:Triticum aestivum genome assembly, contig: Triticum_aestivum_CS42_TGACv1_scaffold_034522_1BL